UCAUAGUUUGUUUUUAGUUAAAAAGAAAAAAAACCAACAAAAACCAAAAUAAAUAUUGUUUCUGAGUGAGAAAGAAGAAGGCAAAUUGAGGAAUGAAAAGCAAUUAAAAGCUUCUCAAAAAUUUUUCUGUUGUUUGUUCUUGUCUUCUCCCAGGAUGAGAUUUCAAAGCCAGAGCUUAAAGAUCAGUUUGAAUUGGAAGCAAAGAGUGUGUCUACGUUCAGUUUAAUCAAGCUCAGGGUUACAGUCAGAUGUGAUACAAAAACAGCUAUUUCUGACUGGUAUGAUUCAAAGCAUCUGCAAAAGCUUCAGGGGUAAAAAGCUGAGGUGUUUCCCAGCCCAACACAGAAUACAGAAACCAUCCUCCUUUGUACACCAGGAGCUGCAGUCCACAGCUGAGCUCUCAUGA
rnacentral:lncRNA from 1 species